rnacentral:tRNA from 1 species
UCGGGGGUCGUCCAACGGCAGGACGCCAGACUCUGGAUCUGGCUAUCGGGGUUCGAAUCCCUGCCCCCGAGCAA